UGUAAUGAAACAGGCAGGGAACAGGCCUCGAACCCUCGACCUUCUAGCCAAACUGGGAACUAGGAAAACAUGUCGGAGCUAGUUUUUUUCCGAGUUCCCAGUUCUAUUGAACACAAGGAAAUCGGAGAUCGAGUUCCCAAUUGUUUUGAACGCACCAUUCGGCAAGGUUUUCUUUCUGUUGUUCAUACACACCACCAUUUUUCGGCGUUUGUGUUUGUCAUUCAACGAGAGAGGAAUCGUUUUCAUUCCAUGUUUUUUCGAUUGAGAAAUACUGCACCAAACGUCUUAGAUGUAAAAUUGUGCGACUAAAGAUAACCUGGACAAAAACGUGAAUGAAUGACAGAUUUGUUUUGUUUUCUUUGAUUAAUUCGGACUAUUUUUGAGAAAAUAUUUACUAGUUACGGCGUCUCAAGAUGGACAAACAGUUUGCCGCUUCUCGUUUUUCAAGGGAAGGACUUUUAAAGGAGUAACACAUGCGGAGGAUUUUAACCAAAGUUUUUUUUAACUGACCCAAGACAGACCAGAACCUGUCGUUUCCAAUGGGAGCAAAUUAAUCAUAGUGGACAGAAUAACCAAGGAUAUAGGCAGAGCCAAGCACUGGCUAGUGAGGUCCUAUUGGCUUGUUUGAACAUUUAUUCGAUAAUUUCGUUAGGGAACACCUAGCCCUUGCGCUCCUUCCAAACAACACUUAAAAAAAAAAAAAAAAACUUUGGAAAAGGGGUAAAGUCUACAAAACGCAGUCCAGUCUGUUUGUUACAGAUAAUAGUUUUGGAAACAGAACUGUAUGAAGAUCAAAUGUUCCAUCAAUGACAAAAAUAGCAGAAUGUUGGACAAAAGCCACCUCGCUCCUUAUUUUCCCUCUGCCGGCCAAUGGGCUUCCCCUCAUCACCAUAUUUGAUAGUUAGUGGAAACGCCAACCGGAUGCUUCACAUUUAUACAUCCGGUGAAAUAUCUAUCCCAUUGUUCAGGGGGUGUAAAGCAACAGAACAAUCUCCGUCUCGCGAUAGUCUGAACGAAGGCGAGAGAAGGGUCGUUACCACAGCCACAAAGUCGUAAACGCCCGCAUACACGACCAAUCCGAUGAGGGAGUGUGAUGGCGUUGAAUCUACACUAGAUUACGGUAAAUUGCCAUUUAGGCCGCCCAUUAUAAUUUGCUUGUGGGCGUGCUUGGCAGCAAAUUCGAUCGUGCGUCAAGAAUUCAGCAUAGCAGGUUUGUAUGAAGGUCUGGUUAUUAAAUUGAUACAUAAGUUCAAUGGUAAUAUCCUCUAAAACGCUCUGGUUGAGAAACUUUGCUGCCCUGUUUCCAAUUGUCCACAUGGCUGGAAGAAUCUGUCCAACCCUGCCACAAAAGGACCAGCUGACAUGUCAGUGAUUCUCUCAUUAACACAGGUGUGAGUGUUGAAGAGGACAAGGCUGGAGAUCACUCUGUCAUGCUGAUUGAGUUUGAAUAACAGACUGGAAGCUUCAAAAGGAGGGUGGUGCUUGGAAUCAUUGUUCUUCCUCUGUCAAUCAUGGUUACCUGCAAGGAAACAUGUGCCAUCAUAAUUGCUUUGCACAAAAAGGGCUUCACAGGCAAGGAUAUUGCUGCCAGUAAGAUUGCACCUAAAUCAACCAUUUAUCGAUCAUCAAGAACUUCAAGGAGAGCGGUUCAAUUGUUGUGGAGAAGGCUUCAGGGCGCCCAAGAAAGUCCAGCAUGCGCCAGGACCGUCUCCUAAAGUUGAUUCAGCUGCGGGAUCGGGGCACCACCAGUACAGAGCUUGCUCAGGAAUGGCAGCAGGCAGGUGUGAGUGCAUCUGCACGCACAGUGAGGCAAAGAGUUUUGGAGGAUGGCCUGGUGUCAAGAAGGGCAGCAAAGAAGCCACUUCUCUCCAGGAAAAACAUCAGGGACAGACUGAUAUUCUGCAAAAGGUACAGGGAUUGGACUGCUGAGGACCGGGGUACUGUCAUUUUCUCUGAUGAAUCCCCUUUCCGAUUGUUUGGGUCAUCUGGAAAAAAGCUUGUCUGGAGAAGACAAUGUGUGCGCUACCAUCAGUCCUGUGUCAUGCCAACAGUAAAGCAUCCUGAGACCAUUAAUGUGUGGGGUUGCUUCUCAGCCAAGGGAGUGGGCUCACUCACAAUUUUGCCUAAGAACACAGCCAUGAAUAGAGAAUGGUACCAACACAUCCUCCGAGAGUAACUUCUCCCAAACAUCCAGGAACAGUUUGGUGACAAACAAUGCCUUUUCCAGUAUGAUGGAGCACCUUGCCAUAAGGUGGGAAUGCACCUAGGGAGUGCUUUGGCAAGAGGCCCGCGGGCAUACAUAUACCUGUAGUAUAUUCACUGUCUAGGCACACUAGGUAAGACCUGGGCGGACCACCCCCUGUAUUUUGGUUAGGGCACCAGGUGGUGCUAAGAUAAGUAGUGGGUAGGCAGGUAAGAUAGGAGAGGGGGAUUUGAGAUUUACUUUCUUUGCUUUGGUUACGUCCAGCCCCUUUUCCCCAUAUUACCGUGUGACGGAAUAAAUUCCUUGUAAACGAUA